UGACCCCAUGCGGGAGAGAGGCGACAAGAUAUGGUCGCCCGCCGAAGGAGCAAGCGCCCCUGCUAAACUCUCAGGCAUUUGGACCGCUGGGCGAUG
rnacentral:ncRNA from 1 species